rnacentral:snoRNA from 1 species
ACUCCAUGAUGAGAAUCAUUUUUCAGUUCUGCUUCUGCAACAUCAUUGAAGAUAGCAAAAUCUUACCAAACUUCCUGAUCA